GUCUUGGAUGGGCUCACGGCCUAUCAGCUUGUUGGUGAGGUAAUGGCUCACCAAGGCGACGACGGGUAGCCGGCCUGAGAGGGUGACCGGCCACACUGGGACUGAGACACGGCCCAGACUCCUACGGGAGGCAGCAGUGGGGAAUAUUGCACAAUGGGCGCAAGCCUGAUGCAGCGACGCCGCGUGAGGGAUGACGGCCUUCGGGUUGUAAACCUCUUUCAGCAGGGAAGAAGCGAAAGUGACGGUACCUGCAGAAGAAGCGCCGGCUAACUACGUGCCAGCAGCCGCGGUAAUACGUAGGGCGCAAGCGUUGUCCGGAAUUAUUGGGCGUAAAGAGCUCGUAGGCGGCUUGUCGCGUCUGCUGUGAAAGCCCGGGGCUUAACCCCGGGUGUGCAGUGGGUACGGGCAGGCUAGAGUGCAGUAGGGGAGACUGGAAUUCCUGGUGUAGCGGUGAAAUGCGCAGAUAUCAGGAGGAACACCGAUGGCGAAGGCAGGUCUCUGGGCUGUUACUGACGCUGAGGAGCGAAAGCAUGGGGAGCGAACAGGAUUAGAUACCCUGGUAGUCCAUGCCGUAAACGUUGGGCACUAGGUGUGGGGGACAUUCCACGUUUUCCGCGCCGUAGCUAACGCAUUAAGUGCCCCGCCUGGGGAGUACGGCCGCAAGGCUAAAACUCAAAGGAAUUGACGGGGGCCCGCACAAGCGGCGGAGCAUGCGGAUUAAUUCGAUGCAACGCGAAGAACCUUACCAAGGCUUGACAUACACCGGAUCGCAGCAGAGAUGUUGUUUCCCCUUUGGGGCUGGUGUACAGGUGGUGCAUGGUUGUCGUCAGCUCGUGUCGUGAGAUGUUGGGUUAAGUCCCGCAACGAGCGCAACCCUCGUUCUAUGUUGCCAGCACGUGAUGGUGGGGACUCAUAGGAGACUGCCGGGGUCAACUCGGAGGAAGGUGGGGAUGACGUCAAAUCAUCAUGCCCCUUAUGUCUUGGGCUUCACGCAUGCUACAAUGGCCGGUACAAUGGGUUGCGAUACUGUGAGGUGGAGCUAAUCCCAAAAAGCCGGUCUCAGUUCGGAUUGGGGUCUGCAACUCGACCCCAUGAAGUCGGAGUCGCUAGUAAUCGCAGAUCAGC
rnacentral:rRNA from 1 species